UAGGGAAUCUUCGGCAAUGGGGGGAACCCUGACCGAGCAACGCCGCGUGAGUGAAGAAGGUUUUCGGAUCGUAAAGCUCUGUUGUUAAGGAAGAACGAGUGUGAGAAUGGAAAGUUCAUGCUGUGACGGUACUUAACCAGAAAGGGACGGCUAACUACGUGUCAGCAGCCGCGGUAAUACGUAGGUCCCGAGCGUUGUCCGGAUUUAUUGGGCGUAAAGCGAGCGCAGGCGGUUAGAAAAGUCUGAAGUGAAAGGCAGUGGCUCAACCAUUGUAGGCUUUGGAAACUGUUUAACUUGAGUGCAGAAGGGGAGAGUGGAAUUCCAUGUGUAGCGGUGAAAUGCGUAGAUAUAUGGAGGAACACCGGUGGCGAAAGCGGCUCUCUGGUCUGUAACUGACGCUGAGGCUCGAAAGCGUGGGUAGCAAACAGG
rnacentral:rRNA from 1 species